UACGAAGGUCCCAAGCGUUGUUCGGAAUUACUGGGCGUAAAGCGUGCGCAGGCGGUUCGUUAAGUUCGUUGUGAAAGCCCCGGGCUCAACCUGGGAACUGCAAUGGAAACUGGCGGGCUUGAGUGUGGCAGAGGGGGGUGGAAUUCCGCGUGUAGCAGUGAAAUGCGUAGAGAUGCGGAGGAACACCGAUGGCGAAGGCAGCCCCCUGGGCCAACACUGACGCUCAGGCACGAAAGCGUGGGGAGCAAACAGG
rnacentral:rRNA from 1 species